UGAUUAACUGGACGUUACCCACAGAAGAAGCACCGGCUAACUCCGUGCCAGCAGCCGCGGUAAUACGGAGGGUGCGAGCGUUAAUCGGAAUUACUGGGCGUAAAGGGUGCGUAGGUGGUUGAUUAAGUUAUCUGUGAAAUUCCUGGGCUUAACCUGGGACGGUCAGAUAAUACUGGUUGACUCGAGUAUGGGAGAGGGUAGUGGAAUUUCCGGUGUAGCGGUGAAAUGCGUAGAGAUCGGAAGGAACACCAGUGGCGAAGGCGGCUACCUGGCCUAAUACUGACACUGAGGCACGAAAGCGUGGGGAGCAAACAGGAUUAGAUACCCUGGUAGUCCACGCUGUAAA
rnacentral:rRNA from 1 species